rnacentral:rRNA from 1 species
GGAAGGUGCGAGCGUUAAUCGGAAUUACUGGGGCGUAAAGCGCGCGUAGGCGGCUAGAUAAGUCGGGUGUGAAAGCCCUGGGGCUCAACCUGGGAACCGCAUUCGAUACUGUCUAGCUAGAGUGUGGUAGAGGGAGGCGGAAUUCCGCAUGUAGCGGUGAAAUGCGUAGAGAUGCGGAGGAACACCAAUGGCGAAGGCAGCCUUCUGGACCAACACUGACGCUGAGGCGCGAAAGCGUGGGGAGCAAACAGGAUUAGAUACCCUGGUAGUCCACGCCGUAAACGAUGUCAACUAGCCGUUGGGAGCAUUUUGGCUCUUGGUGGCGCAGCUAACGCGAUAAGUUGACCGCCUGGGGAGUACGGUCGCAAGAUUA